CACUUGUCGUCUUGUUGUCUAGCCGUCUUGUUGUCUAUGUUCACUUUCUGCAGGAGCACGUGCAAGACAAAGUCAAAUAGGAGCAACGCUGGGAAGAUGCAAGAUUGAAAACCUGAAUUCCUGGACCAGAUAAUUAUUGACCUCAGACGAAGGA